rnacentral:rRNA from 1 species
UACUCCCGCCGGCGACCGGCGCGACGGUGAGUAACACGUAUAGAAACCUCGCCCGUAGCGAGGGGGAUAAGCGGAAGAAAUUCCGUCUAAUACCGCGUAACAACCCGAGGAGGCAUCUCCUCGGGUUUAAAGGAAGCGAUUCCGGCUACGGAUGGUCAUGCGUCGCAUUAGCUAGUUGGCGGGGUAACGGCCCACCAAGGCGACGAUGCGUAGGGGUUCUGAGAGGAAGGUCCCCCACACUGGUACUGAGACACGGACCAGACUCCUACGGAAGGCAGCAG